GAUGAACGCUGGCGGCGUGCCUAAUACAUGCAAGUCGAGCGAACAGACGAGGAGCUUGCUCCUCUGACGUUAGCGGCGGACGGGUGAGUAACACGUGGAUAACCUACCUAUAAGACUGGGAUAACUUCGGGAAACCGGAGCUAAUACCGGAUAAAUUAUUGAACCGAUUGGUUCAUUGGUAAAAGACGGUUUUGUUGUAAUUAUUGGUGGAUUCGCGCCGGAUUUGCUAGGUGGUAAGGUAACGGCUUACCAAGGCAACGAAGGGUUGCCGACCUGAGAGGGUGAUCGGCCACACUGGAACUGAGACACGGUCCAGACUCCUACGGGAGGCAGCAGUAGGGAAUCUUCCGCAAUGGGCGAAAGCCUGACGGAGCAACGCCGCGUGAGUGAUGAAGGUCUUCGGAUCGUAAAACUCUGUUAUUAGGGAAGAACAAAUGUGUAAGUAACUAUGCACGUCUUGACGGUACCUAAUCAGAAAGCCACGGCUAACUACGUG
rnacentral:rRNA from 1 species